AGAAUCAACGCUGGCGGCGUGCCUAACACAUGCAAGUCGAACGAGAAAGUGGAGCAAUCCAUGAGUAAAGUGGCGCACGGGUGAGUAACACGUGACUAACCUACCCUUGAGUGGGGAAUAACUUCGGGAAACCGAGGCUAAUACCGCAUAAUACCUACGGGUCAAAGGAGCAAUUCGCUUCAGGGAGGGGUCGCGGCCGAUUAGUUAGUUGGCGGGGUAAUGGCCCACCAAGACGAUGAUCGGUA
rnacentral:rRNA from 1 species